UUGUGAUCUUGCUUGAAGUCUAAUUUAAUUAAGAUUAGGGCACCAAUCUGAAGCCAUUUCUUAUUUAUUAUGACUCAUAAUACUUGUUGCUGCACUCUUGAAAUCUUCUGGUGUAUACUUGCAAGAAUUUCUAAUAUUACACAUUUCCUUUUAUAACCGCAUAUGACAAUUCAUCGAAGCUAACUUUUUAUUUUUACUUUGUUUCAGUCUGGCAGGAAAUAAGUUAUUCUGCAAUUCCUCAAUUAUACAUGGUUGUUCAGAUCUGAUAGCAAUGACUAAUGGUAACUGCUUGCCAUUGUGAUAGGCAUAUUGAUGUUUUUUUGUAAGUGUGCAUUUUGGAAUCAUGAAAGGUGAAAUCCGAGUUCAUGAUGGCCCCGGACACCAUAGAGAAACAAGUUCAGGAGUAUCAUACAAAACUUGUUGCGUUGGAGGAACAAUUAUCUAAGCACUGUAUGUGUUGGUUCACCAUUAUGCACACUGUAUGAAUAAGGUCGACUUCAGUAAAGUGUUAAUUAGCUAUAUGAAUUACAACUGUCAUUUCAAGAUAUUUCAAACACUCAAACGUGACCCACCCUCAAAGAUAUAUCUACAACAGGUUCUUUACAUGCAGGAGAGGACAAAAGGAUGCAGCUCCUGGAUAAACUUAUGUACAUGGAGUGAGAAUUUGUAGCAACCAAAGGGUGGGAGAGUGCAUUACAGGAACGACUACUAAAGGAGUACAUGUUGGGUGACUAUCAGGGGCGUAUUGUGGUCAAGUAAUGAAAAUAAACGAACUUGAGGUACAACUCAAUAGACCGGUUCUAGGAUCAGUACAGAAUCAUCAAUAUCAUCCGCGAAGGAAUUGAUAAAAGACAUGGAAGGGGAAUUUGCAUCGAUUAUCUGAAAGCUCAAAAGGGGAGAAGAAAACCCUUAAGACGGAACUUUCAUAUGUGAAAGAAGACCUAUCCAAAUCUUCUUCCAAAAAUAAAGCCGAGUCACUCUCGACCAGCGCCGAGGAUGGAGCGGAAUGGCUGGUGAAGAAGUUGAAGGGCAAGAUGCAGAAGCCACUGGUGGACCUGCUUAGCACAACCUCCCUGUGGGUAUGCUAGGCGAGGUCACCUCACGUGGAGGUGGACAGGAUCAAGACCAAGGUGCUCGUCUCGGCUAGCGUCACCAUUGUCAAGGCCGCCGCUGCCAAGGUCUACUUCACUACGAGGAUCAAGUGGUCGUGCAACGGGAUGCCUAUGAUGUCGUCAGGGGCGGCAUCACCGUCGACGAGUUUGCUGCACACCAAGAUGGACAAAUGGUUGCUUUCAGUUGCAGGAAUAAAUCUACAGUCAUUAGCUACCUGGGAGAUCUGUGUGCACUGUACAUCAUGUGUUUUGUGCUUCGUUGUGAGAAUGUGUAACACACAGAAGGAUUCAGAAUGUGUGCCCAUUGCAUAUGAUAUAUGUCUCGAAUACAGUACAUCCGAAGCAGAGCUCGAGUUAGCUCAAACAAUCUAUCAGAUUUUAAACUGAAGA